GAUAAGAACGUAGCAAAAUGCGAUAAGUAAUGUGAAUUGCAGAAUUCAGUGAAUCAUCGAAUCUUUGAACGCACAUUGCGCCCGCUGGUAUUCCGGCGGGCAUGCCUGUUCGAGCGUCAUUUCAACCCUCAAGCCCCCGGGUUUGGUGUUGGGGAUCGGCUCUGCCCUUCUGGGCGGUGCCGCCCCCGAAAUACAUUGGCGGUCUCGCUGCAGCCUCCAUUGCGUAGUAGCUAACACCUCGCAACUGGAACGCGGCGCGGCCAUGCCGUAAAACCCCAACUUCUGAAUGUUGACCUCGGAUCAGGUAGGAAUACCCGCUGAACUUAAGCAUAUCAAUAAGCGGAGA
rnacentral:misc_RNA from 1 species